rnacentral:lncRNA from 1 species
AAGGGCCUGCACCCCUCCCACCUCCCUCCCAGCUCCCAGUCCUGUCUCCUCGCUCCCUGCUUCCCCCUUCUUUCUCCUUUCUCUUUCUUUGCUGUUCCCUUGCUACUCUCUUCUCUCCCCCUCCUCUGGAGGGAAACCAGAACCGUCCUUCUCUUUUCCAUCUCUCCCCUUGCUUUCUUUCUCUGCUUCCUCAUCCUCCCUUGAGCAGC